GCUGGAGGCCGGAAGCUGCCUGCUAAUCGGCUACCCCGAGUGGAGCGCCGGGGCGGCAGGCGUGGGAUGGCUGCGGGUGGCGGGGCCGGCGGAGAGGGAGCUGCACCGGGCGGGGCACUGGGACUGUGGCGGGCACCCGCGCCGGGGGUCGGACGGUGCUUCUGCACCGGCGAGAUAAGGGUCGCUUCUGCACCGCCCGGGUUUCCAGCCUUUAACUUUUUGUCCUUUCCUCAGCUUUCUUCGUUUUCCUUCCCUUGUCUUUACUUAGCCUUUUCUUUCUUCCUUUCUGUUUUCUUUCUUAACUAAAACAGUUUUAGUUUCUUAAUUUGUCCCAGCGUAAAACACCCAGUCUUUGAAAAUAGAUUAACCCAGAUCUCAGUUUGAGUGCGAGUCCAGUGCUAAGUUUGUAACUUCCCCAAGCCUCGUGUGUCUCAUCUAUAAGAUAUGCAUAACCUAAUGCAGAGUGCCUGAUGCAUUGCAGCAGACAAAACAUUAGUACUAAUAUGUUUGUAAUUAUAACCAUCACAGCAAUACCUGCCCUGUUAACAUUACAAGAGUCAUUAACAAGAACCAAGCAUAAACAAUUAGAAGUCUUACGUGACAUAUCAUUUCUGGGGCAAUUACCAUAUUUAAUACUUUCUGGGAAUUUAUUCCAAGGAAAAACAGGUACGAACCAGAUAGAUGUUUAUUACAGAAUUAUUUUAAAAAGUGAAAAUUGGAAAAGACCUAAAUGCCCAACAAGGAAAUGGCUAAGUCAAUUGGGUGGUAUUAAUGACGUGACAUUACUGUAUUAUUCCUGGACUACAGAAGAAUUAAAAUGGUAUAGAAGAAUAUUAACUUUAACAAAUAUUUACUGGAUGCCGGCUAUGUGCCAAGUAUUCUAUGUUAGCGCUGUCCAUUGUAACCACUACAUGUGGCCCUGAGAACCUGAAUUGUAGUAGUCUGAACUGAGAUACACUGUAAGGGUAAAUUACACUCUAGAUUUUGAAGAAGAAUGAGAAAAAGAAUGUAAAAUACCUCAAUUUCUUUAUAGUGAUAACAUCUUAGAGAAGGACUAUUGAGGUUAAAGACUAAAAUUUGAUCUUUAUCUUUUUACUUUAUUAGUGUGGCUACUAGAACAUUUAAAAUUAUAUAUGUGGCAUGCAUUGCAUUUCUAUUGUACCGUGGUAUUCUAUUUACCGGAUACACAGUAGUAAACAAUACAGUUUUGGGGCUCAUAAAAUUAAAUCUUUUGUGUAGAACAUAGACAAUAAGCAGAUAAAUAGAAUUGUAUGUUGUGGUGAGUUAUAUGAAGACAGUAUAGCAGGGUAAGGGCCAGAAAGUAUGUGUAUAUAGAGGGGGAUUAUUUUAGAAAAGAUUAUUCCUCCACCUCAGAAAAUGGAUGUGGGAGGAAAUGAGAUAUCUAUGGAUAGAAGCAGG
rnacentral:lncRNA from 1 species